GACGAACGCUGGCGGCGUGCCUAAUACAUGCAAGUAGAACGCAGUUUCGAACGGGUGAGUAACGCGUAGGUAACUGCCUCAUAGCGGGGGAUAACUAUUGGAAACGAUAGCUAAUACCGCAUACUGUGAGAUGGACCUGCGUUGUAUUAGCUAGUUGGUGAGGUAAAGGCUCACCAAGGCGACGAUACAUAGCCUGCCUGAGAGGGGUGUCGGCCCAACUGGGAAUGGGACACGGCCCAGACCCCUACGGGAGGGAGCAGUAGGGAAACUUCGGCAAUGGAGGGAAGGCUGACCGCGCAACGCCGGGUGAGUGAAGAAGGGUUUCGGGGCGGAAAGCUCUGUUGUGAGAGAAGCGUUAACUAAACAGAAAGGGACGGCUAACUACGUGCCAGCAGCCGCGGUAAUAC
rnacentral:rRNA from 1 species